GCCAGACCAAAGCUCAGAGGAACCAACGAGGAACUAAACGCAAACAUGAACCUGAACCCAGCUGUGUGUCCUUAAAGAGUGACGCAUCUAAAGAUGAAGCCAUUAAAUUUAAAGUCCAGCGUCUGUCUGCUGCAGAGAGACUAUCAAGACUCAUUUUGAUGCUGUUCUGGGCAGCCAAGAAGGACUUCUCGCAGCGGCCACUUGUCAUAAGUUUAAACUUCGUUGGCUGAGAGAUGAGCGUAGGAGAGAGCAUGUGAAGGAGCUUCUGACAACAGAGUGUCGUAAAGCUGCUCCUGCAACUGACAAUGCUAAUAUGUCCCAACUGCCAGCCAGCCUGGCCGAAAUUGACUUUUUUGAAUUUGAGAACCAGCCCACAGAAAGAUUCUCAGCAGAAAAAAAAAUUUAAGGUCAGGCUAUGAGCUUGAGAUUCUUAAUCAGUUACCAAAUCUCAAAAAGGUGUUCAUGAAAUACAACAGUCCAACUCCAUCCAGUGCACCGGUGGAACUGCUGCUCUGUUUAGGUGGAUUGGUGCCUUCCCCAAAAAGGAAAAGACUAUCUGAUCGAAGGUUUGAGAAGCUUCUGCUGAUGUGAUAUGACCACUGUUUCAAUCCAAAAGAAAACAUUAAAACAGGUUGUUUUCAGGGUUGCCACAAAAUGAGAUUGGAUUAAAAGCCUAAAUGUAGCAUGCAAUAGCAUUUUCUGUUUUGGUAAUCUCAUUAUUACUGCUCUCUGCACUUUACCAACUGCUAAUAGGGAGAAUAUUUGGUUUUAUUUAUUUAUUGCUGUAUUUAUAUGAACGAGUAUGCGUAUACACAAAAACAAUUUUAUGUUAUAUACUGGAAUAUGCAGAAAUAUAGGUUAAGACUUGCUUUAUUUUCUUAAAAUAUGGUGUAAUGUAGAGAAAUAUGUUUAAAUGUUAAAUAAAUGUAUUAAAGUCAAAGACUGUUGAAUUUAAUUUAAUUUUUGUAUGAUGCAAUGUUUAUAAAGUUAAGAUUAAAAGUAAUAAAACAAUUUU